rnacentral:rRNA from 1 species
GACGAACGCUGGCGGCGUGCCUAAUACAUGCAAGUUGAGCGCUGAAGGUUGGUACUUGUACCGACUGGAUGAGCAGCGAACGGGUGAGUAACGCGUGGGGAAUCUGCCUUUGAGCGGGGGACAACAUUUGGAAACGAAUGCUAAUACCGCAUAAAAACUUUAAACACAAGUUUUAAGUUUGAAAGAUGCAAUUGCAUCACUCAAAGAUGAUCCCGCGUUGUAUUAGCUAGUUGGUGAGGUAAAGGCUCACCAAGGCGAUGAUACAUAGCCGACCUGAGAGGGUGAUCGGCCACAUUGGGACUGAGACACGGCCCAAACUCCUACGGGAGGCAGCAGUAGGGGAUCUUCGGCAAUGGACGAAAGUCUGACCGAGCAACGCCGCGUGAGUGAAGAAGGUUUUCGGAUCGUAAAACUCUGUUGGUAGAGAAGAACGUUGGUGAGAGUGGAAAGCUCAUCAAGUGACGGUAACUACCCAGAAAGGGACGGCUAACUACGUG